rnacentral:rRNA from 1 species
GACGAACGCUGGCGGCGUGCUUAACACAUGCAAGUCGAACGGAAAGGCCCUGCGGUUGUCGCGUGUUCGAAUGGGGAGAGGGUGAGUAGAGCGAGGUGACCUGCCCUUUGGGAUAGGGUUAGCACACGGGGACUGGGGCAAUAACUGAUCAUAGGCUCCUUGGUCGGGGGGGGGAAGGUUCGGCGGUGGGGGUUGGGCCCGCGGCUUAGCAGCUUGUUGGUGGGGUAGUGGCUUACCAUGGCAAUGACGGGUAGCCGGCCUGGGAGGGUGACCGGCCACAUUGGGACUGAGAUACGGCCCAGACUCCUACGGGAGGCAGCAGUGGGGAAUAUUGCACAAUGGGCGGAAGCCUGAUGCAGCGACGCCGCGUGCGGGAUGACGGCCUUCGGGUUGUAAACCGCUUUCGCCUGAGACGAAGCGUGAGUGACGGUAAGUGGUAAAGAAGCACCGGCUAACUACGUG